rnacentral:rRNA from 1 species
CACGUAGGGCGCGAGCGUUGUCCGGAAUUAUUGGGCGUAAAGAGCUCGUAGGCGGCCUGUUGCGUCCGCUGUGAAAGCCCGGGGCUUAACCCCGGGUCGGCAGUGGAUACGGGCAGGCUAGAGGUAGGUAGGGGGAGAAUGGAAUUCCCGUGUAGCGGUGAAAUGCGCAGAUAUCGGGAGGAACACCGGUGGCGAAGGCGGCUCUCUGGGGCGGUACUGACGCUGAGACGCGAAAGCGUGGGGAGCGAACAGG